UACGAAGGGGGCUAGCGUUGUUCGGAAUUACUGGGCGUAAAGGGCGCGCAGGCGGUCGUUCAAGUCAGGCGUGAAAGCCCCGGGCUCAACCUGGGAACAGCGCUUGAGACUGAGCGACUUGAGUUCGGGAGAGGAGAGCGGAAUUCCCAGUGUAGAGGUGAAAUUCGUAGAUAUUGGGAAGAACACCGGUGGCGAAGGCGGCGACCUGGUCCGAUACUGACGCUGAGGCGCGAAAGCGUGGGGAGCAAACAGG
rnacentral:rRNA from 1 species